rnacentral:rRNA from 1 species
UACGAAGGGGGCUAGCGUUGCUCGGAAUCACUGGGCGUAAAGGGUGCGUAGGCGGGUCUUUAAGUCAGGGGUGAAAUCCUGGAGCUCAACUCCAGAACUGCCUUUGAUACUGAAGAUCUUGAGUUCGGGAGAGGUGAGUGGAACUGCGAGUGUAGAGGUGAAAUUCGUAGAUAUUCGCAAGAACACCAGUGGCGAAGGCGGCUCACUGGCCCGAUAGUGA